rnacentral:rRNA from 1 species
UACGAAGGGGGCUAGCGUUGCUCGGAAUGACUGGGCGUAAAGGGCGCGUAAGCGGUUUGUACAGUCAGAUGUGAAGUUCCUGGGCUCAACCUGGGGGCUGCAUUUGAUACGUAUGGACUGGAGUGAGGAAGAGGGUCGUGGAAUUCCCAGUGUAGAGGUGAAAUUCGUAGAUAUUGGGAAGAACACCGGUGGCGAAGGCGGCGACCUGGUCCUUUACUGACGCUGAUGCGCGAAAGCGUGGGGAGCAAACAGG